GACGAACGCUGGCGGCGUGCCUAAUACAUGCAAGUAGAACGCACAGUUUAUACCGUAGCUUGCUACACCAUAGACUGUGAGUUGCGAACGGGUGAGUAACGCGUAGGUAACCUGCCUGGUAGCGGGGGAUAACUAUUGGAAACGAUAGCUAAUACCGCAUAAUAUUAAUUAUUGCAUGAUAAUUAAUUGAAAGGUGCAAUUGCACCACUACCAGAUGGACCUGCGUUGUAUUAGCUAGUAGGUGAGGUAACGGGUCACCUAGGCGAAGAUACAUAGCCGACCUGAGAGGGUGAUCGGCCACACUGGGAAUGAGACACGGCCCAGACUCCUACGGGAGGCAGCAGUAGGGAAUCUUCGGCAAUGGACGAAAGUCUGACCGAGCAACGCCGCGUGAGUGAAGAAGGUUUUCGGAUCGUAAAGAUCUGUUGUAAGAGAAGAACGGGUGUGAGAGUGGAAAGUUCACACUGUGACGGUAUCUUACCAGAAAGGGACGGCUAACUACGUG
rnacentral:rRNA from 1 species